UACCUGCGGAGGGAUCAUUACCGAGUUUACAACUCCCAAACCCCUGUGAACAUACCUAUACGUUGCCUCGGCGGAUCAGCCCGCGCCCCGUAAAACGGGACGGCCCGCCCGAGGACCCCUAAACUCUGUUUUUAGUGGAACUUCUGAGUAAAACAAACAAAUAAAUCAAAACUUUCAACAACGGAUCUCUUGGUUCUGGCAUCGAUGAAGAACGCAGCAAAAUGCGAUAAGUAAUGUGAAUUGCAGAAUUCAGUGAAUCAUCGAAUCUUUGAACGCACAUUGCGCCCGCCAGUAUUCUGGCGGGCAUGCCUGUUCGAGCGUCAUUUCAACCCUCAAGCUCAGCUUGGUGUUGGGACUCGCGGUAACCCGCGUUCCCCAAAUCGAUUGGCGGUCACGUCGAGCUUCCAUAGCGUAGUAAUCAUACACCUCGUUACUGGUAAUCGUCGCGGCCACGCCGUUAAACCCCAACUUCUGAAUGUUGACCUCGAUCAGGUAGAUUCCCUUCCGGUCCCCC
rnacentral:rRNA from 1 species